GAUGAACGCUGGCGGCGUGCCUAAUACAUGCAAGUCGAGCGAACAGAUAAGGAGCUUGCUCCUUUUACGUUAGCGGCGGACGGGUGAGUAACACGUGGGUAACCUACCUAUAAGACUGGAAUAACUCCGGGAAAGCGGAUCUAAUGCCGGAUAACAUGUUGAACCGCAUGGUUCUACAGAGAAAGGCGGCUUUGCUGUCACUUAUAGAUGGACCCGCGCCGUAGUAGCUAGGUGGUGGGGUAACGGCUCACCAAGGCAACGAUACGUAGCCGACCUGAGAGGGGGGUCGGGCACACUGGAACUGGGACCCGGUCCCGACUCCUUCGGGAGGCAGCCGGUGGGAAACUUCGGCAAUUGGCGGAAGCCUGGCGGAGCAACGGCGGGUGGUUGAUGAAAGGCCUCGGGUCGGAAAACCCCGUUAUUAGGGAAGAACAAAUGCGUAAGUAACUGUGCGCGGCUUGACGGUAACUAAUCAGAAAGCCACGGCUAACUACGUG
rnacentral:rRNA from 1 species